rnacentral:rRNA from 1 species
AUUGAACGCUGGCGGCAGGCCUAACACAUGCAAGUCGAACGGUAACAGGAAACAGCUUGCUGUUUCGCUGACGAGUGGCGGACGGGUGAGUAAUGUCUGGGAAACUGCCUGAUGGAGGGGGAUAACUACUGGAAACGGUAGCUAAUACCGCAUAACGUCGCAAGACCAAAGAGGGGGACCUUCGGGCCUCUUGCCAUCGGAUGUGCCCAGAUGGGAUUAGCUAGUAGGUGGGGCAACGGCUCACCUAGGCGACGAUCCCUAGCUGGUCUGAGAGGAUGACCAGCCACACUGGAACUGAGACACGGUCCAGACUCCUACGGGAGGCAGCAGUGGGGAAUAUUGCACAAUGGGCGCAAGCCUGAUGCAGCCAUGCCGCGUGUAUGAAGAAGGCCUUCGGGUUGUAAAGUACUUUCAGCGGGGAUGAAGGGAGUAAAGUUAAUACCUUUGCUCAUUGACGUUACCCGCAGAAGAAGCACCGGCUAACUCCGUG